GAAAUUUCUCUCAAGCAGCUUCAUUCAAGAGAGUGUUACCGUUCUCUCUCGGGUCCGCUGAGCUCUGAUUGUUUUUCCGUCGGUCUUCUCCUGUCCGAAUUGAAUAUCAUUCAAGAGAUGUUGGGAGGUUCCUUUGCUCUUGCUAUUCAGCAUCUUCAGGACUUACUUAUACACCACAGCUGAGAAUGUCUUCCAUUGACAUAGCGUGCCAAAGCUCUGCGGCGACCCCUCUCCUCCAUGUAUAGUCAUGUCCUGUUUCUAGAAAAGGGGAAGCAAAUGCUUUUCCUUUGAAGUGCUAUGAGUGCAUGGGCGCUCUGUGCUCUUUGCUUUGCUGACUAGUGUUUAGCUUCGGUCUGCUCAAUAUUUUCUAGGAAGAUAACAACCGUAGGAGGUGGUGGUUGGCGUGUUUCCUUAUUCCGUACUCAAUUUGUUUCACCUAUGGUUCUAGGCUUGGG
rnacentral:misc_RNA from 1 species